GACCCAGUGGCGAAGUGGUAUCGCGUCCGCUUAGAUCUUCCGCGGAAGACACCCGUUCGAUUCGGGCCUGGGUCA